rnacentral:rRNA from 1 species
GACGAACGCUGGCGGCGUGCCUAAUACAUGCAAGUUGAGCGCUGAAGGUUGGUACUUGUACCAACUGGAUGAGCAGCGAACGGGUGAGUAACGCGUGGGGAAUCUGCCUUUGAGCGGGGGACAACAUUUGGAAACGAAUGCUAAUACCGCAUAAAAACUUUAAACACAAGUUUUAAGUUUGAAAGAUGCAAUUGCAUCACUCAAAGAUGAUCCCGCGUUGUAUUAGCUAGUUGGUGAGGUAAAGGCUCACCAAGGCGAUGAUACAUAGCCGACCUGAGAGGGUGAUCGGCCACAUUGGGACUGAGACACGGCCCAAACUCCUACGGGAGGCAGCAGGAGGGAAUCUUCGGCAAUGGACGAAAGUCUGAACGAGCAACGCCGCGUGAGUGAAGAAGGUUGUCGGAUCGUAAAACUCUGUUGGUAGAGAAGAACGUUGGUGAGAGUGGAAAGCUCAUCAAGUGACGGUAACUACCCAGAAAGGGACGGCUAACUACGUG